UCGUGGCGACAGGUUAUGGGGAUCUAUACCAGCACGGUACGUGUCCACCAUGUUUCUUGCCAACGUCUCUGCUCGUAGGCUUGCACUGUAAGGACACAGCUAGAGGACUGCUAUGAUGUGGAGGAUAGUGAUGAUGGUUGUUCUAUUCUCUUUUCUACACCAGGCACAUGCUAAUAAAGAGAAAGAGAAGUACAGACACAAGUGUCGGGCGAACUACCACAAAUCUCCGGUGUGCCUGAAUAGGCCGGACGGGUAUUUCUGUCAUUGCGGGGGCGGCUUCGAGUGGAACGGC